rnacentral:rRNA from 1 species
GCUGGCGGCGUGCUUAACACAUGCAAGUCGAACGAACCUUCGGGUUAGUGGCGGACGGGUGAGUAACGCGUGAGAAUCUGCCCUCAGGAGGGGGAUAACGGUUGGAAACGACCGCUAAUACCCCAUAUGCCUACUGGUGAAAUGAAUUUCGCCUGAGGAUGAGCUCGCGUCUGAUUAGCUAGUUGGUGAGGUAAUGGCUCACCAAGGCUUCGAUCAGUAGCUGGUCUGAGAGGAUGAUCAGCCACACUGGGACUGAGACACGGCCCAGACUCCUACGGGAGGCAGCAGUGGGGAAUUUUCCGCAAUGGGCGAAAGCCUGACGGAGCAACGCCGCGUGAGGGACGAAGGCCUCUGGGCUGUAAACCUCUUUUCUCAAGGAAGAAGAUAUGACGGUACUUGAGGAAUAAGCCACGGCUAAUUCCGUGCCAGCAGCCGCGGUAAUACGGGAGUGGCAAGCGUUAUCCGGAAUUAUUGGGCGUAAAGCGUCCGCAGGCGGCUUUUCAAGUCUGCUGUUAAAGCGUGGAGCUUAACUCCAUCAUGGCAGUGGAAACUGAAAGGCUUGAGUAUGGUAGGGGCAGAGGGAAUUCCCGGUGUAGCGGUGAAAUGCGUAGAUAUCGGGAAGAACACCAGUGGCGAAGGCGCUCUGCUGGGCCAUUACUGACGCUCAUGGACGAAAGCCAGGGGAGCGAAAGGGAUUAGAUACCCCUGUAGUCCUGGCCGUAAACGAUGAACACUAGGUGUCGGGGGAAUCGACCCCCUCGGUGUCGUAGCUAACGCGUUAAGUGUUCCGCCUGGGGAGUACGCAC